rnacentral:misc_RNA from 1 species
AACUUUCGACAAUGGAUCACUUGGCUCUCGCAUCAAUGUAGAACGCAGCGAAAUGCGAUAAGUAAUGUGAAUUGCAGAAUUCAGUGAAUCAUCGAAUCUUUGAACGCACCUUGCGCUCCUUGGUAUUCCGAGGAGCAUGCCUGUUUGAGUGUCAUUAAAUUAUCAACCUUAUCAGCUUUUACAAGUUGGUAAUGGCUUGGAUGUGGGGGUCUUUUUGCUGGCUUCGUCAAGAAGUCUGCUCCCCUUAAAUGUAUUAGCCGGUGCCUCGCGUGGAGCCGUCUAUUGGUGUGAUAAUUAUCUACGCCGUGGACGUCCACUUUAAAUGAGUGUGCUGCUUCUAACUGUCCGUUAAGUUGGACAAUUAAUGACAAUUUGACCUCAAAUCAGGUAGGACUACCCGCUGAACUUAAGCAUAUCAAUAAGCGGAGGCU